UUCCGCAUACAGUUCAGAGAGUGAGAGCAGGGAAUUUGAGGAUGUUUUGGUCGAUACAGAAGGAUAUUUAAACGUUGAGCCGUACAUGUUCGAGCCAUUAAUAUCACUAGAUCAUAGUGAGAGUGAUCAUUCGGACGAAAGUGAUUAGAAUUUGUGGUUAAUCAAUUUGCAUGGCAGACCUGCCGAUAUAGCAAAGAAGACAUUGAUAGACGGUUGCAGAUGCAUAACAUGUAUGAUUUUUGAACAGACUAAUGUUGCACAAUAUUGUUUCGCCUCGUCAGUGUUGUAGGCCCUAUCGCCAGUUAUGUCAUGACGCUGAACUACUAUUGAAAAGUGACGGUAUUAUGCACAAUCAUCUUGACGUGACGAUAAAAUGCCGUGCAACGUUAGAUAGGCCUAGAUGUCAGAUGACAAUAAUCUGUCAUUGACAGUGGCUGUCACUGACACUGACCUGUGUCGCUGUCACCUUGCUAUGGCUGGAACACAAGAAGACACUAUGCGGUAUCACAGGCCCCAAUAGGGCCUACACAUUAUGUAUAACAACCGACCUCAGCAGCCUCGGGCAUUAAAUGCAAUUGACAUGGUUGGAACAGCUGUUUUUAACAAGUGGCAUUUAAUAUUCAGUUGGAUGCAGAUAUCCGGCUUCAUUUGAUAAUCCGUAUCGAUAAAGUGAUCACUGCAAAGUUUAGCCGAAGGCCCAGGCUUCCAACACUCCAAACGUUUGCACUUCCGAAUCCACAGCUUCCUCCUCUCUCAUUCAACUGGCUUUGGAAAUUCAUGAAAAUGGGUCCCAUCCGUCAUUCGAUUGUUCUUUGUGCUAUCCUUGACACAAUUCGGAGCCACACAAUACACCAUAGUGAAUGAAACACAUUACUUCCAGGCUGCACCAGCAAGUAGGCCUGAGGCAACUUCUCAACCUGUGAACAAUAGGAAGUCAGUCAAAGCUAAGAAAAGAAAAGCCAGCAAGGGAAAAGCAAGCAAGGCGAAGGGAGACUAUUGCGAAGCUGAGAGAAUAGACAACUACGACCCCAAAAACAACACGUAUUACAUAAAGUGGCAAGGAUAUGAUGCGUCCCACAACUCAUGGGUGAAAGCGGAAGACGUAACUUCUCCUCUCAUCUCUUCUUACAAAGAAAAAUUAGGUUCCGGAACGCACAAGAAGUGAUGCACCUCAUGUCUUUCGAUUGUUGAAAAAAUUGAUGUGAAUUUGUGCAAAUCCUCCCGCCUGUGUUUUUUUGUUCAGUGGAAUUUACGUAUUUCGGUAUUCCUUCUUCACCUCCACGCAUUAUUCAUUCUGACAUAAACUCACAUGAUCACUUUUGAUGAAAGAUUACAUAAUGGAUAAUACAUGUAUUGAAUUGGCACAAAUAUAGUACAAUGUAAACUUAUCAUAUCUUUCAUUAAAAGGUCUCAUUAAAAGUAAAUGUAAGUUACAUGUACAUGUACUGUGGAAUUAUUGUUUUUUCAGACAAUCUGUGGCUGUUGUAUACAUGUAUCAUUCAAUAAACGUGGCGUUUUUCAUAUUAUUAGAUACA